rnacentral:lncRNA from 1 species
GCCUUGCUGGGGACAGGGCUGGUAUCAACUUCUCCUGUCAUUUCAACAGCAGGAUCCAGCUGCAUUUGGAGCUAACUGCAUCUCAUUUGUUUACAAGUCUAGUUGAGACUCUGAAUCAAGGUUAUGGUGAAGACCACAGGAAUCUUGGGAAGGGACAGCUGGAAUCCUGUGACUGAAUGGGAUUUGUGGUAAACACCUGGCCUCCUCACACUAGCUGGAGAUGCAUAGGUGAAGGUGUAGGUAUUAUGGCGGAGUGAUAAGCCCAGAGACCCUGGAGUGGGAUGGCUUCUACUGCUCAACGAGGAACCUUGGCAGAGAAAAUGAUAUUUGGAUUCCAGUCUUGAAGGAUAACGGAAGAAUAGUUUAUAUCAGCCAGUCCCUAAGCUCGUUGAAUAAAGGACUUAACCACUUUGCUGCAAGAUGAGUGAAUUAAUGAAUGGCAGAAGAUUUAUAAAAACUGGAGAGAAACCAUGUGAUAAAAGAAUAUAUUCAUAAUCGUAUUUUACUACGAAAAUCAAGGAGAUGUCAGGGUCAAACUGAAGGAGUAGUUUCUGGUAGUUAAAAAUAGAUAAUCCAUGAUUUAUACAAAUUCUUCCAGAGAAUAGAAGGAGAGAGAGUUCAACUAGUUUUAGAAGACUAGAAUAAUCUUAAUACCUAAACUGAUGAACAUUUCAUGGGACAAGAAAAUUAUAGACCUAUUUUAUUGAAAAUAUACAUGCAAAAUUUCUAAAUAUAACAUCAACAACUUGAAUUUAGUAAUUAAUUUUUUUAAUAAAAACUGCUGAUCAAUACA